GUUGCUGAGACAGACACAUAACGUAUAAAUCUUUCGCCUUUUACUAAAGAUUUCCGUGUGUAUGUUUCUUAAAGGCACAAUUUGAUAUUUAUUUACCUAGUAUUACUAGGUU
rfam:Blastocystis hominis, Singapore isolate B (sub-type 7) whole genome shotgun sequence assembly, scaffold_1